GGCCUAAUGGUCUAGUAGUAUGAUUCUCGCUUUGGGGCCUUCACGAUCGCUUCCUAUGCGAGAGGUCCUGGGUUCAAUUCCCAGUUGGGCCC